ensembl:lncRNA
CCCAGGCUGGAAUGUAGUGGGGCAAUCUCAGCUCACUGCAACCUCCACCUCCCAGGUUAAAGUGAUUCUCCUGCCUCAGCCUCCCAAGUAGCUGGGAUUAUAGGCUCCCACCACCAUGCCUGGCUAAUUAUUUGUAUUUUUAGUAGAGAUGGGGUUUUACCAUGUUAGCCAGGAUGGUCUCAAUCUCCUGACCUCAUGAUCUGCCCGCCUUAGCCUCCCAAAGUGCUGGGAUUACAGGCGUGAGCCACCGUGCCCACCAAGAGCUUGCACUUAUUGAGCUAAUUCAAUACCUCAUCUUGAAAGCACUUUUAAUUUUAUAUACUCAGGCAAAAUGACAGUUUGCUUCAAUAUCUAACAGUCUCUUCAGUUUCCUUUGUAUUUUCUUGCCUCUUUAAUCAGAGCUAAAGACGUUUCAUAAAAUGGGCAUGAAGGAUUCCCUCAAAUGAAGAUGUAGACAAAAUGAUUGGUGAGGUCCUUUGCUCUACUGUUGAAUGGAGGAGGAUUUUUCCCCCCAACACACACAGGGGUUUUCUUGGAGCUCAAGUUUGGACAACCCCAGACAAUCAAAUUUGGAUGCCAACUAUGUGGAACAGAAGUAUGGCUGCUGUGGUUGAAUUGAUCCCCCUGUCAGCCACACCCUUUGUCUCCCCCUACCCCAAGGGACUCUGUGGCCUGGAACUGCAGUGUGAAAUGCUAUAUAGUGCAAUGAAGUCAAUUCUAAGACAAGAGUUCUUUGCCUCUCUCAUCUAAUUUUUAGUUACGGAGAUGAGACACUUGUUCAGAAGUAUGGAAAAGUAUAUAUAAUAUGUUAUCUUUUAGAUAUGUGUGUAAAUAUGCAUAUGUAUACAAUGUGCUUAUAUUUUAACGCAUAAACAACAUGAAUAAAGCAAACACUCUAGACUUCUCCAAAUGUAUCUUGUUUUAUAGUUUUCAAUUUGGAAAAUGUCAACAUUUUUACAUUAAAAAAUAUUACUCAGCCAUAAAAAAGAAUGAAAUCACGUCUCUUGCAGCAACAUGGACAGAACUGGAUGCCAUUAUUCUAAGUGAAAUAAUUCAGAAACAGAAAGUUAGAUACCACAUGUUCUCACUUUUAAGUGGGAGCUAAAUAAUGUGUACACAUGGGGACAGAAUGUAAAAUAAUAGACUUUGAAAGGGAGGUUGAGGCAGGAGGACCAUUUGAGGCCAGGAAUUUGAGACAAGCCUGGCCAACAUGGUGAAACUCCUUCUCUACUAAAAAUGCAAACAAAUUAGCCGGACAUGGUGGCUGACACCUGUUAUGUCAGCAGUUUGGGAGGCCAAAGUGGGUGGAUCACUUGAGGUCAGGAGUUCGAGACCAGCCUGGCCAACAUGGUGAAACCCCAUCUCUACUAAAAAUACAAAAAAAUUAACUGGGCAUGGUGGUGCAUGCCUGUAAUCCCAGCUACUUGGGAGGGUGAGGCACGAGAAUCAUGAGCUGAGAUUGCACCGCUGCACUCCAGCCUGGGUAACAGAGCAAGACUCUGUCAACAAAAAAAAAAAAAAAAAAGGAGGAGGAGGGCGAGGGAUGAGAAAUUACUUAAUGGGUACAAUGUACACUACUACACUCAAAGCCCAGACAUCACCACUGAGCAACCAAUCCAUUUGACAAAACUACACACCUGCACUUGUACACAUUAAAUUUAUACAAAAACAAAAAACAAAGGCAAAUCAAAAAGGAAAAUGAAACAAAGUGAUCUCUAAACAACACAAACAGUAACUGAUGAACCUAGCUGCGUAUCGUGUCAGUUCCAAAAUCACACAGAGACGAAUUGCUUUCGAAUGACCCUACAACACAGUAUUUUGAUCAUAUAUUCUCCAGUAGGGUAUAAGCUAAGGACAAAGAAAAACACAUGAAAUCUUAGAUGGUACCCGGUAGUUUUAUUGUUAAUAAUGAUGCUGGUGUUAUUAUUUUGAAACUCAUGUCCAUUUCUCAGCUACCACUUGAUACUAAUUUUUUUUUUUUUUUUUUUUGAGAUGGAAUUUUGCUCUGUCACCCAGGCUGGAGUGCAGUGGCAAGUUCUCAGCUCACUGCAACCUCUACCUCCUGGGUUCAAGCGAUUCUUCUGCUUCAGCCUCCCAAGUAGCUGGGAUUACAGGCGUGCGCCACCACACCUGGCUAAUUUUUGUGUUUUUAGUAGAGAUGGGGUUUCGUCAUGUUGGCCAGGCAGGUCUCAAACUUCUGACUUUAGGUGAUCCGCCUGCCUCAGCCUUCCAAAGUGCUGGGAUUACAGGCGCAAGCCACUGCAUCCGGCCAGUGAUUUUUAACCUUUAUCAAUCUGAUAGACAAAAAGAUCAUUUCAUUGUUUUAACUUCAUUAAUUAUUAGUAAAUCUGGCAAUAUAUUAGGAAAACAAUGACAAGAAUAAUUUGAUACAAAAUGCACAAAAUUAGACGUCCUCGAAGAUCAUUUUAGAGGCAGCAUGAAGUGGGGGCAGCGCUGGCGGUGGGGGCUGGGUGUGGAGAAAACCAGCCAAAGGAGGACUCAUGGGAUCCUGGAGCUUUUGACUGGGGUUCACUUGGAGCCCAGACUCAGGCCGGUUCUGACAGGAGCACCUGCCAGGCCUCAGCUUAGGGGCACAAGGUGGGACACAUGGACUGGGUGUGUGGUCCCAGAGCCUAAGAGGCACCAACAGGGGGUUCUCUGCAGAGACCAGCGUCUGGCCAGGAACUGCUUUUGCACAAGGAGCCAGAAGUAGUUUGCCCCAGUAAGUGGGGGCCUGGACUCACACAAAGCAUUGCACCACGGAUGGCCAGAGAAACUCAGAGAACCUUCCUGUGCUUGUUAACAUACUCUCUCACUUCCUCUGUAGCCUCCGCCAAGCCAAGCAGUCAGCUCCUAGGACUCCCCUCCCUCCACCUGAGGCUGCUUCUCCUCCCUUCCUCAGGAAUCUCCAGCCUCCUGGGGUUUCCCCUCCCCGCUGCCAGCUCCAGCAGGGGCUGUCAACGGCCUGGGAGAGAGAAGUGGGCUUCCUGGGGCCACCUUCCCGACUUUGGAGUGUUCAGAAGGUGAUAGAGUGACCACCAGGGGGCAGUGUGGACAGGUCUCCAUAGGACUGGUCAGGCAGACUCCUUUGCAGAGACCUCGCAGGACAGGAGCCCUCCACACACCUUUCCCACGGGAGCUUCUCCCUCCACCCCGAGUCACUACUAUCUGCUUUCCUAGAAGGCACUUCUUUACUUUUAAUUCUUCUCCACUCUCCAGGUACCUGAUAUUCUCACAUGG